ACCGGAGUGGACGAACCUCUGGUGUUCGGGUUGUCAUGCCAAUGGCAUUGCCCGGUAGCUAAGUUCGGAAUCGAUAACCGCUGAAAGCAUCUAAGCGGGAAGCGAGCCUUGAGAUGAGUUUUCCCUGACGCUAUAAGCGUCCUAAAGGGUUGUCGUAGACUACGACGUUGAUAGGCAGGGUGUGUAAGUGCUGCGAGGCAUUGAGCUAACCUGUACUAAUUGCCCGUGAGGCUUAACCAU
rnacentral:rRNA from 1 species